UAAAGAUGAAUUGAAGCAUUGAAAUGAGGUUAGGAGUCGGGUGUCAUGUGAUACACGACCGCUUGUACUGAUUCAUGAAUCUUCUUCUAUUUUCACAACUCUCAUCUCCAUCAAAUCCACAUAUUUACUCCAACAAAUCUAAUUUCUCUCUUUCACACACACACACAGUCUAUAUACGAGGUAUAUCACUUUUUGGUUUUCAGAUUCAUCUCAUCUUGUAUCUAUUUUUUCUCCUUUAUUUCUUCAUAAAGAUAGUGUUACUUGUUCAGCAUUCUUCAUUCAGUGAGUAUCCCGAAUUCCCUAAUUCCUAGGUUUUCUUGUGCAUUUUUUAUUUGGUGGGGUAAAACUAUAUUCUUUCACCCUUUUCUCCCCUAAAUAAUAGGGUUCUAAUUACUUCGGAUGUGGGGUUCCCUAAAAAGUAAUUCUUGCUUUAGCCUCGGGCUAACUCACGGGAUUCAUUGAAUUGAACCGGGUUUAUGUAAGAUUUCAGGUAAAUUUAGUUUCAGAGAAUUAGUGUUUGAGCUAUUGUUUUUUGUCCAACUAUUUGGCAGAGAUUUCGCUAUUCAAUCUUUUUAGGCUUGUGAUUUUUGUGCCCUUUUUUAAGAUGGGGAGUAAGUUUUGGUUGAAGGAUGAGGAUAAGGCUGUGGUGGAAAGGGUAGUGGGCAAUGAAGCAGCUGAAUAUCUUGCUUGGCUGGCCUCGAACAACGUGCUGUUGGAAUUUUCUCCAUCCGGUGGGGAUCUAGGGGUGCAGCAAGCACUGGUCAAGAUUGUUGAGGGAUCAGAUUGGACAUAUGCAAUAUAUUGGCAUGUUUCUAAAUCUAAGUCUGGUAGGUCUGCUUUGAUAUGGGGCGACGGUCAUUGUAGGGAGCCAAAGGAAGGUGAGGGUGAGGGCGAGGACGAGGACGGUAAUGUCCCGAAGAAUGAGAAAUCAGUGGAUGGAGAUGGUAGAAGAUGGGUGCUGCACAAGAUUCAUGCUUGCUUUGGGGGAUCAGAUGAAGAUAAUGUUGCUGCUAAGUUGGACAAAGUUUCGGAUGUGGAGAUGUUCUAUCUCACAUCAAUGUAUCUUGCCUUUCCCUUUGAUAAACCUUCCAUUCCCUCUCAGUCAUUCAACUCUGGUAGGUCUAUUUGGGUUUCUGAUGCGAAAAGCUGUUUAGAACGUUAUGAGUCGAGGUCAUAUUUGGCAAAGUUGGCUCGUUUGGAGACAGUGGUGUUUGUUCCAACAAAGUCAGGGGUGGUGGAGAUUGGCUCCAGGAGUUCUAUACCUGAGGAUAGGAGUGUUAUUCAAUCAGCAAAAUCUAUAGUUGUGAAACCGAGUUUAGCAGCACAUACGAAAGCUGCUCCAAAGAUUUUUGGUCAGGAACUGAGUGUUGGGGGUUCCAGAUCAGGACCAAUUAGUAUUAGCUUCUCUCCGAAGGUGGAAGAUGAUUCUGUCUAUUCUGUGGAAUCAUAUGAUUUGCAGACACUAGGUGGUGCUCAAAUGUAUGGAAACUCAUCAAAUGGGCACAGAAAUGAUGACAGUGAUGGGAAACUAUUGUCACAAUCCAUUAUUUCUAACACUAAGCAAGCUAGGGAUGAUUCAUUUCUCAUCUCUGAUGAGCGGAAGCCUAGAAAACGGGGUAGGAAGCCAGCAAAUGGGAGGGAAGAACCAUUGAAUCACGUGGAAGCAGAAAGGCAGAGACGUGAGAAGCUCAAUCAACGGUUUUAUGCAUUAAGAGCAGUAGUUCCAAAUAUCUCCAAGAUGGACAAAGCAUCUCUGCUCGGUGAUGCAAUUGCCUAUAUUGCAGAUCUUCAGACGAAGAUAAGGAUAAUGGAAACAGAAAAGGGGAUUUUGAAUGGAAAUGAGUAUCACUGCACUAUACAAGACAUUGAGUUUCAAGAAAGGCGCGAAGAUGCAGUUGUCCACGUAAGUUGCCCUCUGGACGCUCACCCUGUAUCUGGGGUUAUAAAGGAAUUGAGAGAGCAUCAAGUUUCAACACAAGAAUCCACCAUUUCCUUAACUGAGCAUGGUGAAGUCAUCCACACAUUCUCCAUACACACUCAGGAUGGUGCUGCUCAACACUUGAAGGAUAAACUUUGUAUGGCACGGCCUUCAGAAUUAUUUUGGCAAUGGAGGUUGGUGAUGAGCUUCUGGCUGGGAAGUUUUUCACAGUAGCGAUCAAUCUUUUGUUGUGAGUCUUGCAUUCUGUAAGUUCGCAGUUGAAUUUAUAUCCUCAUAGCAGCAACACCAAACUCCAAACUUUGCUUUGGAUACGCAUCGCUAGCUGCUGCAGGAGGAGGAGGGGGAGGAUAUACUUGCGCUGGCCGAUGCUGUUAGUGCAUGUCCUUUUUCCCUUGCUGGGACCCAUGAGCAGGGGUUCGGGCCUGGUGGUGAAACAGAACGAUGCUGCAACAACGGCUGUAGGAGACAACGGAGAUGACAGUUUCGGGGAAUUGCUCGGAGAAGCAUGUUGACAAAUAGGUGCACCAGAUUAUGCAUCGAGGAGGUGUACCAAAUGAUGCGUAGGAGUGGACCACGAGGCCGUCAGAUCAUUCCAUGUCACAACAGCAUUCUAUGUAGGAUUUAAGUUGAUCGGAUUAUUUGAUGAUAAGAAAUUGGUCAUACACUCGAGUCUCAAAGCUCACAACAUUCAAAGUCUGGGGGAAAAACUAAAUGUGCCUAUAGUGAUUGGUAAACCGAAUACUCACUGCAACUUGGUUUCAGUAAAUGGUUUUCAAGGGAGUUUGAGUUUAGGUACCCAAAAUUUCGGUAACAGCUUAACUGAAAUUGUCUGAUCAUGACCUGUUGGACGACCUCACAUAUACUUUGUUGAAAUCAACAUAAUUUAUUUUGAGGUUGUACCUGUGUACAGUUAGUUCAUUGCCUACUAG